GGGGAUGACAGGCUUCGACGGAGGAGGCUGAUCCCGAAUUGCGAGCCGAGAGGCGCCGAUGCUCGUAAACUCAGCGCAAAAAUUAAGUGCCAAACGCACACCUUACGCUGCUAUGCCCCUCGCUGCAUAAGCGAUAGUAUAGUAGUCCGGUCUCAAAGCAGACCGCGUCCCCCUUUACCCUUCUCCGUUGGGUCAUAGAAUCGGGCGACGCAAAAGCGGAGUGCCACAUACGACGCCGCUAAAUAUGUGAAAGAGGGCUUUCGGGUCCGAGUGGCUGACUGGAGAAAUUUCCUGCUGAUUGAGAAUUCUCCAGUGACGUUCAUCAAUCAGCUACGCUCGUAGAUAUUCGAGGCUCGAAUUUUUCGGACGCGGGUUCGAUUCCCGCCAUCUCCACAA
rnacentral:tmRNA from 1 species